rnacentral:rRNA from 1 species
GAAAAGAAACCAACAGGGAUUGCCUUAGUAACGGCGAGUGAAGCGGCAACAGCUCAAAUUUGAAAUCUGGCCCUCGGGUCCGAAUUGUAAUUUGUAGAGGAUGAUUUUGGUGCGGUAUCUUCCGAGUUCCUUGGAACAGGACGCCUUAGAGGGUGAGAGCCCCGUACGGUUGAAUGCCUAGCCUCUGUAAAUCUCCUUCGACGAGUCGAGUAGUUUGGGAAUGCUGCUCUAAAUGGGAGGUAAAUUUCUUCUAAAGCUAAAUAUUGGCCAGAGACCGAUAGCGCACAAGUAGAGUGAUCGAAAGAUGAAAAGCACUUUGAAAAGAGGGUUAAAUAGCACGUGAAAUUGUUGAAAGGGAAGGAUUUGUGACCAGACUUUUUCUGGGCGGAUCAUCCGGGGUUCUCUCCGGUGCACUUUGUCCAGUAAAGGCCAGCAUCGAUUUUCGGCGGCGGAUAAAAGCAGUGGGAAUGUGGCUCCCUACGGGGAGUGUUAUAGCCCAUUGUAUAAUACGCUGCUGGGGAUCGAGGUACGCGCUUCUGCAAGGAUGCUGGCGU